CAAAAUGUAGCUAAAUCAGUAAAGCACCUCCCUUACACUGAGGAGUUACCCGUGCAAUUCGAGUCAUUUUGA
rnacentral:tRNA from 1 species